rnacentral:rRNA from 1 species
GAAUAUUGGACAAUGGGGGGAACCCUGAUCCAGCCAUGCCGCGUGUGUGAAGAAGGCCUUUUGGUUGGAAAGCACUUUAACCGAGGCGGAGGAGCUCUUGGUUAAUACCCAAGAUGCUUGGACGGUACUCGCAGAGUAAGAACCGGCUAACUCUGUGCGAGCAGCCGCGGUAAUACAUAGGGUGCAAGCGUUAAUCGGAUUUACUGGGCGUAAAGCUUGCGUAGGUGGCCAAUUAAGUCAAAUGUUGAAUCCCAGAGCUUAACUUGGGAAUUGCAUUCGAUACUGGUUGGCUAGAGUAUGGGAGAGGAUGGUAGAAUUCCAGGUGUAGCGGUGAAAUGCGUAGAGAUCUGGAGGAAUACCGAUGGCGAAUGCAGCCAUCUGGCCUAAUACUGACACUGAGGUGCGAAAGCAUGGGGAGCAAACAG